rnacentral:rRNA from 1 species
CGCCUGUUUAUCAAAAACAUGGCUCCCUGUAAUUCAUCAAAUAGGGAGUCGGACCUGCCCAGUGAAUUUUUCAACGGCCGCGGUACUCUGACCGUGCAAAGGUAGCAUAAUCAUUUGCCUUAUAACUGAAGGCUAGUAUGAAUGGUUUGACAAGAAUGUGACUGUCUCUUUGUAAUUAAUUAGAAUUUUAUUUCCAGGUGAAGAAGCCUGUAUAUAAUUGAAAGACAAGAAGACCCUAUCGAGCUUAAAAAAAGUUAAUAAGCGUAAUUUUUAAUAAGGUAUUAAUAUUGUUCAUUAAAAAUUUUAGUUGGGGCGACUGAGGAACAAAUAAAGCUUCCUUUGAUAGUUUAAAUUGAAACAAACAAGUAGUGAUCCAAAAAUUUUGAUUAAAGGAAUUAGUUACCGUAGGGAUAACAGCAUUAUCCUCUUUGAGAGUUCGUAUCGAAAAGAGGGUUUGUGACCUCGAUGUUGGACCAGAAUAUCCUGAAGAUGCAGCCGUCUUUAAGGGUUGGUCUGUUCGACCAUUAAAAUUCUACGUGAUCUGAGUUCAGACCGG